CCCGAGUGCGCGAGCGGACAUGACGUGUGGCUGUCGUAAAAACCCUAUUUGUAAACAACCAGUCCUUUAACUAAGCGCUACGUCAUAAACACGGCGCGCUUGGAAGACCACGAUGUCAUCUUCCUUCUGUCAGGAGGAUCCCAGUGAAGCUACAGGAGUUUCAUUAACGUCAACAACUUGGACCGAACGGUUUGUUUUGCUUGAUGAAGAGCAGGAAGGGCAGCCUGGAGAGAAAGAGAAGCCGGGUUGAGCCCACUACCAUCAUCCACGUACCACGAGGAAGAUGAGGGAGAGAAAUGAUCCUACCAUUAAAGAGACUGUGAAAAGAACGUUGAGAACAUCACCACUCUACAGGAAGACACAGUCCAGUAAUGGGUGUCAGAAUUUCAGUAGUGAACGACAGGCAGUACUGAUGCAUUUACUGAGACGGGACGUGAGGGCCUACUCUGCGUGCUCAGAGUUCAAGCCCAGCAGGCUGCAGCGGUCCUGACAUAUUCUGGAACAGCAGCACAGUCUUUGGAUGACUCCUCUGAAGAUGAAACAUGGCGAGUUCUUCUCAAGAGAAGCAGUACAGGUGUGCCUCAGCUCCACGGUCCCUCCUGCAGCCUCCGCUCCUGAUGCUAACCUCAUGUCUCCAUCACACCAAGCAGCAGACCUGGAUUGACAGACCUUUCUCCAGAGCUGCCCCCUCCCUCUGAAACCCCCCUCUCCAAAACACUAUUUGUGUAGUUUUUAAAGUAUUUUUUGCAUGAGAAUUGUUGAUCAUAACAUUUCCAGCAGAUGCCUUAAUGUAAUGUUUGUGCACAAUAAAUGACAUUGAUCAUAA